rnacentral:rRNA from 1 species
CGGACGGGUGAGUAACACGUUGGAACCUGCCCCGAAGUGGGGAAUAACUUGCUCGAAAGAGUAGCUAAUACCCAUAGUAUCCGGUUUAUCCGGAUUAAAGAUUUAUCGCUUCGGGAGGGGCCUGCGUCUGAUUAGCUUGUUGGUGGGGUAAAAGCUCGCCAAGGCGACGAUCAGUAGCUGGUUCGAGAGGAUGACCAGCCACACUGGGACUGAGAUACGGCCCAGACUCCUACGGGAGGCAGCAGUGAGGAAUCUUCCACAAUGGAACGAAAGGUCUGAUGGAGCAAUACCGCGUGCAGGACGACGCUUUUCGGAGUGUAAACUGCUUUUGUCGUCGAAGAUUAUGACUGUAGACGAAGAAUAAGGACCGGCUAACUACGUG